CACAUUGGGACUGAGACACGGCCCAGACUCUACGGGAGGCAGCAGUAGGGAAUUUUCGGCAAUGGGGGAAACCCUGACCGAGCAACGCCGCGUGAGCGAAGAAGGCCUUCGGGUCGUAAAGCUCUGUUGUAAAGGAAGAACGGCGCAUACAGGAAAUGGUAUGCGAGUGACGGUACUUUACCAGAAAGCCACGGCUAACUACGUGCCAGCAGCCGCGGUAAUACGUAGGUGGCGAGCGUUAUCCGGAAUCAUUGGGCGUAAAGAGGGAGCAGGCGGCCGCAAGGGUCUGUGGUGAAAGACCGAAGCUAAACUUCGGUAAGCCAUGGAAACCGGGCGGCUAGAGUGCGGAAGAGGAUCGUGGAAUUCCAUGUGUAGCGGUGAAGUGCGUAGAUAUAUGGAGGAACACCAGUGGCGAAGGCGACGGUCUGGGCCGCAACUGACGCUCAUUCCCGAAAGCGUGGGGAGCAAAUAGGAUUAGAUACCCUAGUAGUCCACGCCGUAAACGAUGGUCACUAAGUGUCGGGGGUCAAACCCCGGUGCUGCAGUCAACGCAAUAAGUGACCCGCCUGAGUAGUACGUUCGCAAGAAUGAAACUCAAAGGAAUUGACG
rnacentral:rRNA from 1 species